rnacentral:rRNA from 1 species
GAUGAACGCUGGCGGCGUGCCUAAUACAUGCAAGUCGAGCGAACGGACGAGAAGCUUGCUUCUCUGAUGUUAGCGGCGGACGGGUGAGUAACACGUGGAUAACCUACCUAUGAGACUGGGAUAACUUCGGGAAACCGGAGCUAAUACCGGAUGAUAUUUUGAACCGCAUGGUUCAAAAGUGAAAGACGGUCUUGCUGUCGCUUAUAGAUGGAUCCGCGCGGCAUUAGCUAGUUGGUAAGGUAACGGCUUACCAAGGCAACGAUGCAUAGCCGACCUGAGAGGGUGAUUGGCCACACUGGCACUGAGACACGGUCCAGACUCCUACGGGAGGCCGCAGUCGGGAAUCUUCCGCAAUGGGCGAAAGCCUGACGGAGCACCGCCGCGUGAGUGCUGAAGGUCUUCGGAUCGUAAAACUCUGUUAUUCGGGAAGAACAUAUGUGUAAGUAACUGUGCACAUCUUGACGGUACCCAAUCAGAAAGCCCCGGCUAACUACGUG